GAUAAAUCGAUGAGCAAGAAGAGUACGUUCAGCCGAUUCGUUACAGAGAACCGGGCAAGGUGAGAGCCGGUGCGAUACGCUGUUCGGAAUGGCCUUGCGAGAGGCGUCCUGAACUUUUAGUAGGGAUGCCCGGGUUUCCGCCGUUAAAAGGAUAGAGCAUCGGAAAAGUUCCUGUGCUCGAAAAGGGGAAGCUUUUGCUUCAAUCGAGGUGGCACCGCGGCGUAGUUCGUCCUCCAA
rnacentral:ncRNA from 1 species